rnacentral:RNase_P_RNA from 1 species
CGAGAGGUCCGGGCGGCCGCUCUCGGGGUUUUCCCCGGGGGAGGAAAGUCCGGGCUCCACGGGUCAGGGUGGUUGCUAACGGCAACCGGCCGUGAGGCUAGGGAAAGUGCCACAGAGAACAGACCGCCUACCCCGCUUCCUUCGGGAUGCGGGCGGCAAGGGUGAAACGGUGCGGUAAGAGCGCACCGCGGUCCUGGUGACAGGGCCGGCAGGGUAAACCCCACCUGGAGAAAGAUCGAAUAGGGAAGCACAAGGCGACGACCCGCGCCGCUUCCGGGUAGAUCGUUCGAGGCCGAGCGCGAGUUCGGUCCCAGAGAAAUGGUCGCCCCCUCCCUCCGGGGAGGGACAGGAUCCGGCUUACAGGACCUCUCGCAUC